UACAUAGGGUGCGAGCGUUAAUCGGAAUUACUGGGCGUAAAGGGUGUGUAGGUGGCUAGGUAAGUUAGAUGUGAAAUCCCCGGGCUUAGCCUGGGACCUGCGUUUAAAACUGUUUAGCUAGAGUAUUGCAGAGGAUAGUGGAAUUUCCAGUGUAGCGGUGAAAUGCGUAGAUAUUGGAAGGAACACCAGUGGCGAAGGCGACUAUCUGGGCAAAUACUGACACUGAGACACGAAAGCGUGGGGAGCAAACAGG
rnacentral:rRNA from 1 species